GAGUAUUGAAUGUGUUCAAUAUCAAUUUGUAAGGUUGCCACUUUGCAACAAUUAUUCAAUAUGAUUGACAUAGACUUCAAACUGUAAGGAGCAGGAAAUUGAAGUGAUCGAAGAAGAUUUGCCUGUGCAACCAAAUACGUAUGAUUGUGGUAUAUUGGUCAUCAAGUAUAUUGAGUUAUGGGAUCAUACACCUAAAUUUGAUGGG